rnacentral:ncRNA from 1 species
AAAAAAAUUUUUUAUAGUUUAUAAAAUUUAUAUUGAAUUUAUUUUACAUAUAAAUUUUAGUGUUAAUUUUUAAUUAUUUUAAUAAUAAUUAAUUUUUAUAGUAGUAAUUAAUAUUAAAAAUUUAAGAAAUUAAGAUUUAGUAUUAUUUAAAAUUUAAUAACUAAUUUUGUGCCAGCAGUUGCGGUUAAACAAAGAUUAAAUUAAAUUAUAUUAGUAAUUAAUAAAUAAUUUUAAUUUAAUAAAAUUUUUAAAUUAUUAGGUGAAAUUUUAAUUUAAUAAAAAUUUAAUUUAAUGAUUAUGAUUUAAUAAAAUUUAUUUAUAAACUAGGAUUAGAUACCCUAUUAUUAAAAAAUUAAAAUUUAACUACUAAAAUAGUAUAUAAUUAUUGAAACUUAAAUAAUUUGGCGGUAUUUUAGUUUAUUUAGAGGAAUCUGUUUAAUAAUUGAUAAUCCACGAAUAAAUUUACUUAAUUUAUAAUUUUGUAUAUCGUUGUUAAAAAAAUAUUUUUAAAUAAUAAUAAUAUUUAAAAAUUUUAAUUAAAAAUUAAAUCAGAUCAAGAUGCAGAAUAUAAUUAUGAAUAUAAUGGAUUACAAUAAAAAUAUUUAAAUGAAUUUAAAUUUGUAAUAAUUUAUUGAAGGUGGAUUUAAAUGUAAUUUUAUUUAAUUUAAUAAAAUGAUUAUGAAUUAGAAUAUGUACAUAUUGCCCGUCGCUUUCAUAUAUAAAUUGGAAUAAGUCGUAACAAAGUAGAGGUACUGGAAAGUGUUUCUAGAAAGAA